UGUCCAAACACUUCUUGAACUCCAUCAGGCUUGGUGCUGUGACCACUUCCCUGGGGAGCCUGUUCCAGUGCCUGACAACCAAUUGGUGAAGAACCUUCUCCUAAUAUCCACCCUGAACCUAAUCUGUCACAGAUUCAUGCCAUUUGCUUGGUACCAGAAUGGAGCCCUGUGGAACCCCACUAGUGACCGUCCACCAGCCUGAUGUAACCCCAUUUACUCUAACUCUUUGAGACUGACCCGUCAGCCAGUUGUUCACCACUCAUACUAUGUAUUUACCUAGCUGUAUGCUAGACAUUUUGCCCAGAAGGAUACUGUGAGAAGCUUUACUGAAAUCCAAAAACAUCAACUGCCUUCCUUUGGUCAACUAGGUGGGUGACCUUGUCAUAAAAGGAAAUUAAGUUCGUUAAGCAGAUCCUUCCCCUCAUGAACCCAUGUUUUCUGUGACCAACAACUGUAUUGUCUUUCAGGUGUUUUUCAGCAACUCCCAGAAAAAUCUUUGCUAUAAUUUUACCAGGCACUGAAAUGAGACUGUUAUAAAUGAAGAUACAAUUCAAUCUGAAUUUAGUAAUAUUUAUAAAAGGCAAGUAAACAGCGCUGGGUGUGCAGAGAGUCUACGCUCUACCAACAUGCACACACAACCAUCGAACUUUCUAAAUAUAUAGAACAUUGCUUUUACAUAUUCAUAAGAAACCCGAGUACGCUUAUACAAAUGUACAAUCAGAAAAGGUAUCAAAUGAAACAUAAACAUGGCAAAGUUUUCCGAAUUCUGGCAAGUGUUUAACAAACAAUCCUUUAAGUCUGUUACUAUUGAUGUCCAUGACUAGGGAGCAUAGUUGGAGUUGGUAAUCCUGGUUGAAGUGCUCCCAUAUCUUCCACGACUUCAUUAAUUUUUCUCAGAUCAUAUAACAAGUCUCCAUUUUCCAUUCCUUUUCUUGAUUACAAACACCGGAUAAGUCCAGGGCUAGUCAUGGGUACAAUAUGUCUCGCUUUAAGUUGUUAAGCAACUCGGCCUUCGGGCCUUAUGUAUCCUAUUCCUCCCGGAUCUAAGGGAAACAGAUCCGGCUCCUUUUCAGGGCCUAUAGGGCCUGGAUCAAAAGGAACAUCCAGGGCUAGUCAUGGGUACAAUAUGUCUCGCUUUAAGUUGAUAAGCAACUCGACCUCCUGGCCUUAUGUAUCCUAUUCCUCCCGGAUCUAAGGGAAACAGAUCCAGCUCCUUUUCAGGGCCUAUAGGGCCUGGAUCAAAAGGAACGUCCAGGUCACCAGGGGGCAUAACAGCAAAGGCCUGCGAUGGCAGUAGCGGCGGGGGAGGGCCGAUGGUGUAGCAGAAGGAUCGGUGGGCGAGCCCGCAGCUCCUUCACUGUCUGGCAAACCACACGUUUCUGAUUGUGGUCGCACAUGGCUCUUUAAGGCCUCAGAGACUGCUCGCCAGGGGCCAAGCAAUCCCACCGCAACCCCGUCGUCUCUAGUAGCAGAGUCCACACCUUGACCUCAAUUUGGUCCCAUGUUUCAGGAUCAUAAACUGUCUGAUUGUUAGUAAAGGAAUAAGCUGUAAGGUUACCAGGACAGUCUUUGUUUCUAAGGACGUAUGAUUCCCCAUAAUGCGUAACUGCCUACCUUCAGCCAGCGAGGGGCAGUUGUUGUGCGCGGGUCCGCUUCUCUCAGCUGGAGCUUCCUUCCAGCUCCGGUGCUCCUAUUUCCAGCAACCUUCUAUACGAGCUUCUUUGAGCGGUUUGCUGAGUUUGACCGAACCUAUCUUCAUGAGGCGAUCAAUGUCCCUGUUCCUGUCCUGGUCCCUGUUCUGCUAGCCUGUCCCUGCUGUUCAUGUCCCUGUUUGUUUUCUUCAGGUCCCUGUUCGGGUGCCAUUUGUGGUGUAAUGACCACACGGACACCAGGGUUCUUUUAGGAUCAGUAACUGCUACUACUUUAUUGAUGACAGAACUUCAUCAUAUCGUGUUGCAUCCCAUAUUGAGGACAGGCUCCCUUCUUAUACUAUUCGCCCCACAGCAGUCCUGUUCCACUAACUCUUCAUUGGUCAAACAACUUUGCCCGGCAACCAGCAAACCCCCAGCAACUUCCAUGCCUUAACGGCUGGAGAACAAGCAACCCAAGACGGCAUGGCGUCUCCUGAAUCACCCUUCUUUGUUCCCUCUAAACUCUUUACAUUCCUGAUGGCCUCAUCGUUAGGAGUCUGAUGGGGUUUGUCGACCCCCAUGGCCACACUCCCACAUCUCCCCCUUCUUUAUUAACAUCAACCAUCUUCUUGACAGGAAUUAUUACUCCAUAUAUCACACUGCCUUUAAAAAUCUGUGAACUUUAUGCUCUGCUACUCUGAUUUUGUAAUGUAUGGUAAAUCUAAACUAAAAACUGAGGAAGUUUUUCUUGGUUAGACAGCCCAUUGCCCCAGCCUUAAUCAAACAUCCUCCUUCCCAGCAAAUGCUUGAUCUUUAUACCUCACAGCAAGAAAAACCUGUCUUGUGUUUGCCUGUGAAGGAUCUUUUGAUGAAUACUGUUUAUUGAUAUGGCUUCUUGGGAAGGACAAAUAAGUUUGGUUUUCUGAAACUACAGUGUAUUGCCCAUAGCAGAGGAUUUUUACCCUGUUCAUUUGUUAGAGGAAAAAAAGGAUUAACUACCAAAAAAUACAGGUAUUCUACUGUGUAGAAUACUACAACUAAUUCAACUAAUACACAUUUUUCCAGUGAACAUUUCAAGACUUAGAGUCAUUAACGAGAUGCAUUUUUGCCAGUCGGACUCAGAUACGCUAUGAAUAGAUGCAUCUUUCACACAGUUCUGAGUGUACUUAUCCAAAACUGCAGCUGCCUAAAUCCCUCAGUACCAAGUUGGCCAGUCAAGUGUGUUUUUGCAUCAUUUAGCAGUGGUAGUGCCAGUACCGUGGGUGUUGAAGAGUUGCAUAAUUUAUUAAAUAAGUCAGUUCAAACACAGCUCCUCCAGCUGUUUGAGGGAACGCUCUCAAAAUCUUCACAGAAUGAAAGAUCUGUGAUCUAUAAGACUUGGUCUACAAUACAAGCACUGGUGGUAAAAUUAACUCCUGUGCAGCAGAUGGCUCAGGACAAAGACCAGGCAUACACUGCAUCCACAGAGAACAGUCCCUGCAGUUCUUUCCACUUCGUAAGUUAAUGUUAAAAUAAGUAUUUUGAAUAAACAGAAGGGAAAACAAACAAACAAACAAAGACAAUGGUGGGAGGGAAAUGGAGUGGUAACCUUACUUAUGCUGAAGAGGUACACAAAGUUAUUCAUUGAUUAGGUUGCCAUUUCAUUUAAGGUUAUUAUAUAUGUUUGCAAAAUUAUAUAGUUAGCAAGGAAUUUACCUGCAUUCAACAGGCACAGGCCAAGUGAGAUAGCUUACAAAUGCAAUUUUCAGUGCAUACAAAACCUGAAUCCAUAAAACAAACACUAGUAUCACUGCAGCACAUACAAAUGUUAAAUUAACAGCAGGACUACCACAGUGGUUGUUUCAUUUCAUAAAAUUAACACUGAAGUCUUAGAUUACACUUAGCUUUAAGGCAUUGUGGAAAAAACUUUUUAUCCAACUUUUAGAGGAAAAAAAAUCAAUCAGUUCACAUACCAGAAUGUUUUUAUGAAAUUGUAAUCUGAAAAUCUGUAAGUACAAACUCCAACCAAGAAAGCACACAAAUUGGUUCACAAGCUAUACACACAGUCCAAACAGCAUACAAAUCUUAACCAACCUAAGUACAGCACUUGAAAUUUAACGACUUAUGUGCAAAUAUCUUUCAAUAAUUUAAAGAAAAACACACAAAUACAUCCAUUCGCCUCACACUUUGAUAUCCUACAUGUUUAUAACAGAAAUGUUUAAAUUUACAGCCUAAGUAGGAAAGUAUGUCAAACCUAUUGUAAAAUAAAAGGAAACUGGAUUGUUUGAGACAAGAAGAGAGUGUCUAUGGCAAA